AGUGAACGCUGGCGGUAGGCCUAACACAUGCAAGUCGAACGGCAGCACAGUAAGAGCUUGCUCUUACGGGUGGCGAGUGGCGGACGGGUGAGGAAUACAUCGGAAUCUACUUUUUCGUGGGGGAUAACGUAGGGAAACUUACGCUAAUACCGCAUACGACCUACGGGUGAAAGCAGGGGAUCUUCGGACCUUGCGCGAUUGAAUGAGCCGAUGUCGGAUUAGCUAGUUGGCGGGGUAAAGGCCCACCAAGGCGACGAUCCGUAGCUGGUCUGAGAGGAUGAGCAGCCACACUGGAACUGAGACACGGUCCAGACUCCUACGGGAGGCAGCAGUGGUGAAGAGUGGACAAGGGGCGCAAGCCUGAUCCAGCCAUACCGCGUGGGUGAAGAAGGCCUUCGGGUUGUAAAGCCCUUUUGUUGGGAAAGAAAAGCAGCAGGUUAAUACCCCGCUGUUCUGACGGUACCCAAAGAAUAAGCACCGGCUAACUUCG
rnacentral:rRNA from 1 species